GUCACCACGGUACACUGAUGAACAGUGUUGGGGAAAGUUACUUUUAAAAGUAAUGUAUUAUGAUAUUGCAUUACUCCA